rnacentral:tRNA from 1 species
UUUUAAUAUAGCAAAAUAAGUGCAAUGAAUUUAAGCUUCAUAGAUAAAGAUUAACCCUUUUAUUAAAAA